UGGGGAAUAUUGCACAAUGGAGGGAACUCUGAUGCAGCGACGCCGCGUGAACGAAGAAGGCUUUCGAGUCGUAAAGUUCUUUUAUAUGGGAAGAUAAUGACGGUACCAUAAGAAAAAGCCCCGGCUAACUACGUGCCAGCAGCCGCGGUAAUACGUAGGGGGCUAGCGUUGUCCGGAAUCACUGGGCGUAAAGGGUUCGCAGGCGGAAAUGCAAGUCAGGUGUAAAAGGCAGUAGCUUAACUACUGUAAGCAUUUGAAACUGCAUAUCUUGAGAAGAGUAGAGGUAAGUGGAAUUUUUAGUGUAGCGGUGAAAUGCGUAGAUAUUAGGAGGAAUACCGGUGGCGAAGGCGACUUUCUGGCCAUAACCUGACGCUGAGGUACGAAAGCGUGGGUAGCAAACAGG
rnacentral:rRNA from 1 species